rnacentral:misc_RNA from 1 species
UCGGAUCGUUUUAGAAACAUCAGUGGCCAACAGAUCGCCAGAUCGUUGAGCUGCAUUGGCGGGAUUUCGCCGUCUUCGUUUCUCUUUCUUCGCGGACGAACACGCGCCGGGGCUGCGCUGUGCGAUUGCAUUCGGCGCUGGUCGCCGAUGCUUGCACGCAAGACCCUAAUCCUGAAAGGGAUAGCGUUAGGGCUUGUAGCUCAGUUGGUUAGAGCGCGCGCUUGAUAAGCGUGAGGUCGGAAGUUCAAGUCUUCCCAGGCCCACCACUUUCAUCGAGUGAGCAUUCGUCUUCUGGUUACGGGGCCAUAGCUCAGCUGGGAGAGCGCGUGCUUUGCAAGCAUGAGGUCGUCGGUUCGAUCCCGUCUGGCUCCACCAGAUGGUUUGAUCACCGAGAUCUUGACCGUCGUCCGCGAAACAUCACUUCGCAUCUUGCUAGUCUGGAUAGACAGCAAGUUGCGUGUUUUCUGACAUCGUAAAGAGGAGAUCGAUCCGAGUUGGGUCGUGCAGCAUAUCGUUGCGCGAGCCUUCAUUAUCUCCGGAUCAUUUCGGCGCUCGCUUUCAGCCGUGAGGUUGAAUGCGGGUUGUAAAUGAUCCUUUUAGCGAAGCUUGACCGCCUCGCUAUCGGAACGAUCUUACGAAGCAAGCUGGUCUUUCUAGUCAAUGUCCGGCUGUACGUAGCAUUCAUCGAGGGUGCGCGCCUGAGACUUCGGUCUCUUGGCAAUCGUACGGACAACAUUCUGCCGAGUGUGUGGACAUUGAUAAUGAGAGCAAUCAAGUGCCUUAAGGGUGUUCGGUGGAUGCCUUGGCGCUGAGAGGCGAUGAAGGACGUGCUACGCUGCGAUAAGCCGUGGGGAGCUGCGAAGAAGCUUUGAUCCGCGGAUU